rnacentral:rRNA from 1 species
GAUGAACGCUGACAGAAUGCUUAACACAUGCAAGUCAACUGUGGCGGACGGGUGAGUAACGCGUAAAGAACUUGCCUCACGGAUAGGGACAACAUUUGGAAACGAAUGCUAAUACCUGAUACUGUGAGAGAGCUUUGCGUCCCAUUAGCUCUUUGGAGAGGUAUCGGCUCACCAAGGCGAGGAUGGGUAGCCGGCCUGGGAGGGUGAUCGGCCACAAGGGGAUUGAGACACGGCCCUUACUCAGACGGGGGGCAGCAGUGGGGAAUAUUGGACAAUGGACCAAAGUCUGAUCCAGCAAUUCUGUGUGCACGAUGAAGUUUUCGGAAUGUAAAGUGCUUUCAGUUGGGAAGCGGUACCAACAGAGGAAGUGACGGCUAAAUACGUGCCAGCAGCCGCGGUAAUUC